CACGAAGGGGGCUAGCGUUGCUCGGAAUUACUGGGCGUAAAGCGCACGUAGGCGGCUUUUUAAGUCGGGGGUGAAAUCCUGGAGCUCAACUCCAGAACUGCCUUCGAUACUGGAAAGCUCGAGUCCGGGAGAGGUGAGUGGAACUGCGAGUGUAGAGGUGAAAUUCGUAGAUAUUCGCAAGAACACCAGUGGCGAAGGCGGCUCACUGGCCCGGUACUGACGCUGAGGUGCGAAAGCAUGGGGAGCGAACAGG
rnacentral:rRNA from 1 species